UACAGAGGGUGCAAGCGUUAAUCGGAAUUAUUGGGCGUAAAGGGCGCGUAGGCGGCAUGGCAAGUGGAUGGUGAAAUCCCUCGGCUUAACCGAGGAACUGCCGUCCAAACUGCUUCGCUUGAGACCGGGAGAGGUGAGUGGAAUUCCCAGUGUAGCGGUGAAAUGCGUAGAUAUCAGGAGGAACACCGGUGGCGAAGGCGGGUCUCUGGGCCGAUACUGACACUGAGGAGCGAAAGCGUGGGGAGCGAACAGG
rnacentral:rRNA from 1 species